UGGCAUAAAGAUAAGUAAAUGAUGAGAGAAUUAUCAUUUUUAGGUGAAUUAUCCCUUUAAAGAGCUCAUGAAAUCAAACUGAAGUUGCUUUUAGUUUGUUAGCUUUGACAGACAUCAUAUGCUAGUGUACUCCUGAAAGUGGACAAAAGUAACAAAAAUUUAGCAGUUUGUUUUUUAAAAAGUCCAAAGUGACUAAAGUAAAGCUGUGGUCAGCAGUCCUUCAACCAUCACGUACCAAAAGACAACAAACCAAGAACAUUAGUUAUCCAAAAGGUCCUUUGCUCCCCUUGCCAAGUCAUAGAAAUGUGGGAAUAAAUGGAGGGAAAGUGACAAUGGGCACUGGUUUUCUCCAGAGAACAUUUCAGUAAAAAAACAGUCACUUAAAUCAUCUUUAACAGGGAGGAUCAGGAUGAAGCACAAUAAUUAACCUCUAUAUUGAUUUCCUGACAUAUAAGGUUCAGAAGGUCAGCACAGUGAUGAUCUGUCUAUGGCAUCUUGAAUGGCUUUCCUUUUUUACUGCCUUAAAGCAUUCAGAGAUAUCAAGCAUCAACCGGUAGUGUUAUAUUAUGAAGGUCUAACACUGUAGUUGUCCACUGCGGGUGGGUGCUUUUAUAUGCAAGCCUGUGAUAAGACCUUUUAAAUACCAUUGAAAGCAUGCAAAUGAUGCAGAAGAGAAAGAAAACAACAGCUUAAAGAAACAGAUCAGAUUAACAGCCUUUCAAAUGAUACAGGAUCAUAUCAAGAUCCUCCAUGGCAUGUGUCACCAAGAUGUCUAUUUGAUGUCUGCAUUUUCAACUGAAAAAAUAUAAGAAACAUUUUUAGUGUUUGCACAUCUACAAUAUUUGGCUAAAAUGUUUCCUUGUCACGUUACAAUGACCAGAUGUUUAUGAUUUAAAAUGCAUGAGAAUUAACUCUUUAGAUGUUUAUCAGAUGGUCAAAAAAAAAAAAAAAAAAAAACCCCAGAAAACAUCAAAGGCAGAGACAAAGAAAACAGUGCUAUAUAAUGCCUAUUAAACUAGACUGAUAUUUUCGGAGGAAAAUGUGAGUAAUGCUUGCCCGUGCAAAACUUGAAACAAACCACAAUGCUAGGGCAUUGUUAUGUGGUUGCUAAGGUGUUCUGAGUGGUUUGCAUGGUGUUGCUAUGUUUUUUGGGUGGAUGCUACGGCUUUGCUACAUCUAAUGGUACUUUUCCACUGCACGUUAUGGUUCGACUCGACCCGACUCUGCUCUGCUCUGCUCGCUUUACUUUUCUGAGCUUGCUUUUCCACUGCAGUUUAGUGCCGACUCAAUGUGGGUGGGAUUAUAUGCUGAUCAUCAUAGUUGCGCCGCCUCUACUGCCGUGACAUCAUCUUAAACGUGACACAAACAUUACUGACCAUAAACAAUAACACGACCGCUAGCUGUUAGCUACUAGCUCAUUGUGCUGCAUAAAGCAGUUGUUGCAUGGUGAUUUUACACAAGUGUAACAGUUAAAUUGGCCUGGUUGUUUUGGAAGCAAGCUUUCCAACAGCUGGUCAGCUAAAUAAAAUGAAGCUUUCAAGCAGAAUAUAGAGUUAAUGUAACAAAACGUACCAUCCUCCAUCGUGGACUCCAACAACGGCGAGUCCAGGGCACUCUCCCUCCCAUUGCUAGGAGGGAGAUAAUAUUGCCAUAGAUAGCAUCCAUUUGGUUGAACCACUUCCACAUUCUUCUGUUUGAACCACUCCGGCUGUUGUGGUCCCUGAUGGUUCUGUAGUCACUUAAAUAACUUUUCCCUACACUGUUGGUAGGUUUGGUGGUAGCCGUGUGCGGCCAACAGCUGAAACACUUCCUGAAAGACAUUUUCGUUUCGUUCAUCACUAACGAGAGGAACGUCUGCACCUCGUUUAUUAACCACGCCGGCUCACUUGGAACCUCGACCAAGGUGGUACUAAAAAAAAUUCAGGUACCAGGUACUAUCCACAGUGGAAAACCCCCAAAAAGCGAGCAGAGUCGAGUCGAGCUGUACCGUGCAGUGUAAAAGCCCCAUUACUGACCCAUGUCAAUAGUCUGAUCGAUUAGAAAAAUACUAAAACACCUCUCCUCAACAUGCCACAUGAUUUGAGGUAUCAUGUCCGUAACACAAACAUGCAAGAUGAGUUAUGCACCAGAAUUAAGGGUUUGUUCAAAGCCAUAACCCUAAGUAUGAGCAACAGUAAUAGUGAUGCUUGCCCCAGGAAACACUAAUAAUAAUAAUACAAGUGACCAGACUAAAGCCCUGGUACUCAACAGGCUGCCCACACACAGGAAGUUGGCAUGUUUGCUUCCGAGAGUUCCAGUACCCUAGGAUCGGCCACAUUAUGCAGACACACUGACAAGUGCCAUCUCCUAUCAGAUAUUCUUGCAUCGUCUCCAGCGUGUUUACCUUCCCCUGUGGUGCAAUCGGAAGCGCACUGAGUCAGCAGUGUGGGAGAGCUGGGUUAGGAUCCCAUUUUGAAACUAGGAAGUAAUCGCAUUCGCAUAAUCAUUGACAAGCGCAAUUCGGAGGUUGCAUUUUCCCCUCUAACAUUACAUUUCUACUCCACAGAUGAUAUGGUUUAGAUGUUUAUCAGAUGGUAAAACAGAAAACAUCAAAGGCAGAGACAAAGAAAACAGUGCUAUAUAAUGCCUAUUAAACUAGACUGAUAUUUUCGGAGGAAAAUGUGAGUAAUGCUUGCCCGUUUCAAGCAAAACUUGAAACAAACCACAAUGCUAGGGCAUUGUUAUGUGGUUGCUAAGGUGUUCUGAGUGGUUUGCAUGGUGUUGCUAUGGUUUUUUUGGAUGGAUGCUAGGGCUUUGCUCCAUGGUUUCUAAUGGCACUUUUCCACUGCACGUUACGGUUCGACUCGACUCUGCUCGACUCGACUUUUCUGAGCUUGCUUUUCCACUGCGGUUUAGUGCUGCCUCAACGUGGGUGGGAUUAUAGGCUGAUUGUCAUAGUUGCACCGCCUCUACUGCCGUGACAUCAUCUUAAACACGACACAAACAUUACUGACCAUAAACAAUAACACGACCGCUAGCUGUUAGCUACUAGCUCAUUGUGCUGCAUAAAGCAGUUGUUGCAUGGUGAUUUUACACAAGUGUAACAGUUAAAUUGGCCUGGCUGUUUUGGAAGCAAGCUUUCCAGUAGCUGAUCAACUAAAUAUAUAUUUCUAAAUAAUAUAUUAUUAAAGAUAUGGUUUAGGUUUAGAGUUUGGGUUGGGGGCUACAGUUUAUAAAAUAUGUAUUCCUCUUCACUGUACAGCGGAAAACAUCUCACUUCACAAUUUGUUUUGGCGCCCCUCCGUGGACAUCACACCUGGAAAAUGAGGGCAGUGGACAAAGUUUUUUGCAUUUCGUGUGGGGUCAUUUUGCUGCAGUUUGCUGUUCAAUGGGGCUGGGGAGCUCUGUGGGACCAUGCCAUCUUUUGCAGGGCUCCCUGUUCUUCUAUUCUAUUUGCAAAAGGAAUGUUCUUGGAGUCGAAAAUUUAUAUUUCCUACUGACACACUAAAGCUGAAGACCUAAAUAACCAUCUUAAGACAAAUAUUUUUGUGAAACAUCUCAUGUGCUUAAGACUUUUGCACAGCACUGUAUAUACUGUACAGGACUUCAGACUGCAACCCAAAAAUAAUUGAUUGCGACAAUAAAAUCUAGUCCCCAUUGGUGACAUUUGGGUUGUGUGCGUGCAUAUGCGGUUUCAUCAGAUAUCAUCUUGUGAGUUAUUCAAUACAUCUUUAAAUCAUGCAUGACGAGCUCACUUUGCUGCACUGCAUGCAACAACAAACCCAGCACGAGAGAGUUGUGAACAAAUGACUCUUUUGAACUGGGUCUUUUAAUUAAUUACCCGAAAAGAUCUGAGGGUUUGAACUCAGGAGCUCAGGUUAGCAGUCAGAAUCAGAUUCACUUUCUGAGCUCACAACUGGGAGUGCAGACAUUUCAAAAUAAGAGUCCCAUGUGUAUUUCGGUCUUCUUUAUAAUUAAAAGUCCUGAAUUGUGUAACACUUUUUUUCCUUCUAGUAAUUAUUGAUUGGGAUUGGAGUAGCACAAUAAACUGCAUCUGGGAUUUCA